rnacentral:rRNA from 1 species
GACGAAGGAUGCAAGCGUUAUCCGGAUUCAUUGGGUUUAAAGGGAGCGUAGGCGGACUUGUAAGUCAGUGGUGAAAUCUGUGGGCUUAAUCCACAAACUGCCAUUGAUACUGCAGGUCUAGAGUACAGUUGCCGUUGGCGGAAUAUGACAUGUAGUGGUGAAAUACUUAGAUAUGUCAUAGAACACCGAUUGCGAAGGCAGCUAACGAAGCUGUAACUGACGCUGAGGCUCGAAAGUGCGGGGAUCAAACAGG